rnacentral:rRNA from 1 species
GAUGUUCAAGAUAAGCCAUGCACGUCUAGUACAAACUAAAUGAUGGUGAAACUGCAAAUGGCUCAUUACAACGGUUAUGAUGUACCCGGGAGUUCCGAUGGAUAUUUCCAGUAACACUAGAACUAAUACAUGUCCCUGCGUUUAUUAGUUUCGCACAGUCCGUCGCUGAGUCAUGGUAAACAGUUGAUCGACUCGACGUCCCGGAACAGUUUCCGCCCCAUCAGCUUCGAUGGUUGGGUAUUGGCCUACCAUUGCAACAACGGGUAACGAGGAAUUAGGGUUUGAUUUCGGAGAGGGAGCCUGAGAAACGGCUACCACAUCUACGGAUGGCAGCAGGCGCGCAAAUUACCCAAUGCAGACACUGUGAGGUAGUGACGAGAAAUAAUAAAGCGGGACUUCUGUUUCGCUAUUAUAAUGAGGAAUAACCAAAGGUCAUUCCAAUUAGCAACUGAUGGGAAAGUCUGGUGCCAGCAGCCGCGGUAAUACCAGCGUCAGUAGCA